GAUGGAUGCUGGCGGCGUGCCUAACACAUGCAAGUCGAGCGGUAACAGAUCUAGCUUGCUAGAUGCUGACGAGCGGCGGACGGCUGAGUAACGCGUGGGAACAUACCCCAAAGUGAGGGAUAACCGCCCGAAAGGGUGGCUAAUACCGCAUAUGGUCUUCGGAUUAAAGGAUUUAUCCGCUUUGGGAAUGGCCUGCGUACGAUUAGAUAGUUGGUGAGGUAAUGGAUUACCAAGUCUACGAUCGUUAACUGGUUUGAGAGGAUGAUCAGUAAGACUGGGACUGAGACACGGUCCAGACUCCUACGGGAGGCAGCAGUGAGGAAUCUUCCACAAUGGGCGAAAGCCUGAUGGAGCAACGCCGCGUGCAGGAUGAAGGCCUUCGGGUUGUAAACUGCUUUUAUAAGUGAAGAAUAUGACGGUAACUUAUGAAUAAGCACCGGCUAACUACGUGCCAGCCGCCGCCGUA
rnacentral:rRNA from 1 species